GCGCCCGUAGCUCAGGGGAUAGAGCAACGGACUUCGAAUCCGUUGGCCGCACGUUCGAAUCGUGCCGGGCGCG
rnacentral:tRNA from 1 species